AUGCGCUGCGUGAUGGUCUGCGCCGCCUUCUUGUGUGCCUGGAAGAGGCUGAUGACGCUGGUCCUGUCGGGGUCCAGGAUGUUUUCAUCCUCGUCCCGCACCACCAGGUCCAGCGCAAGGAUCCUGCAGGGGCCGGGAUGGGUGAGAUGGGACCCAGCACCUGGGGAGCUGGGCGCACGCGGGGCUGCGAGCACGGCGUGGGGGCAGGAUGAUCCCAGCAGGCCGUGGCCAGCAACAGCCACCCGGGGAGGGGACAGGAGCAGAGCAGCACCAGGGACGUGCUCCUGCCCCACCCAGGGCUCACUGGCAAUAGCCGUCGGCCAGGUGCAAUGCCCAGCCAGCAGCACACCAGGGGGGACGCGGGGACAGCAAGCCAGGUCAGCACCGACGCUGCAGCAGGGCGCAGAGCAUCCGGCACCCCCCAGCACCACAGACAGUGCCUGCGGUGGUGGCAGCUGCAGCGCCUCGCUCCCAGCCCCGCUCUCACUUGUUGCCGUAGUCGAUCUUGCCGGUCACCUCCUUCUUGAGCUGCAGCAGCUCGUCCUUGGGCAGCGUCCCCGAGAGCAGCUGCGAGCGCCGCUCCAUCAGCUCGUACAUCAUCUGCUUCACCUGCCGGUACCGCUCCGUCUGCCCCGCCUGCGGGCGGCCGCCACGCAUGGGGUCACCCUCACACCCCCACCGAGCCCCCGUGCCCCCGCGGCCCCGUCCCCUACCAUCCCUCACCACGUAGAGCUGCUUCCAGAUGGUGGCCCACUCCCGCAGCGUGGUGGUGAUCUCCUGCACCAUGGGCAUCUCGGCAGGGACCACGCACUCCUCCGCCCUGGGGAAGACGCAGAGCCCUGCAGCACCCCGCUGCUGGUGGGGCGGGCAGGCGGCCCCCUCGCCCCGUACCUACCCCCUGCGCUCCACCACCGCGCCCUUCAGGUGGAUCAGCGAGGCCGGGAAGAUGCCCUGGGGGGGCAGCAGCCAUCAGCACCCACGCGCAGGGGCUGGGUGAGGAUGCAGUGCCCCCCUGUACAGUCCUGGGGGGCCAAGACUGGGGACUCCCUCUGCACUGAGCACCCUGCAGGGGGUCCCCAGCCCGGCGAUGCCCCCAGUGCCUGGUGCAGCCCCUGGUGGGCACCCAGCCGGGGCCAUUCCCUGCACCCCGUCCCCCAUGGCAGCCCCUCACCUACCCGGGCAGCCCUGUUCCUGAGCGAGUACCCGCGGUACCAGCCUGCAAGGGAAGGGGAGGUGACAGCGUCAGCCAGCCUUGGGGCCUGA
rnacentral:lncRNA from 1 species